rnacentral:rRNA from 1 species
CGAACGAUGAACCACUUCUGUGGGGAUUAGUGGCGAACGGGUGAGUAACACGUGGGCAAUCUGCCCUGCACUCUGGGACAAGCCCUGGAAACGGGGUCUAAUACCGGAUACUGACCCUCGCAGGCAUCUGCGAGGUUCGAAAGCUCCGGCGGUGCAGGAUGAGCCCGCGGCCUAUCAGCUUGUUGGUGAGGUAAUGGCUCACCAAGGCGACGACGGGUAGCCGGCCUGAGAGGGCGACCGGCCACACUGGGACUGAGACACGGCCCCCACUCCUACGGGAGGCAGCAGUGGGGAAUAUUGCACAAUGGGCGAAAGCCUGAUGCAGCGACGCCGCGUGAGGGAUGACGGCCUUCGGGUUGUAAACCUCUUUCAGCAGGGAUGAAGCGAAAGUGACGGUACCUGCAGAAGAAGCGCCGGCUAACUACGUGCCAGCAGCCGCGGUAAUACGUAGGGCGCAAGCGUUGUCCGGAAUUAUUGGGCGUAAAGAGCUCGUAGGCGGCUUGUCGCGUCGGUUGUGAAAGCCCGGGGCUUAACCCCGGGUCUGCAGUCGAUACGGGCAGGCUAGAGUUCGGUAGGGGAGAUCGGAAUUCCUGGUGUAGCGGUGAAAUGCGCAGAUAUCAGGAGGAACACCGGUGGCGAAGGCGGAUCUCUGGGCCGAUACUGACGCUGAGGAGCGAAAGCGUGGGGAGCGAACAGGAUUAGAUACCCUGGUAGUCCACGCCGUAAACGGUGGGCACUAGGUGUGGGCAACAUUCCACGUUGUCCGUGCCGCAGCUAACGCAUUAAGUGCCCCGCCUGGGGAGUACGGCCGCAAGGCUAAAACUCAAAGGAAUUGACGGGGGCCCGCACAAGCGGCGGAGCAUGUGGCUUAAUUCGACGCAACGCGAAGAACCUUACCAAGGCUUGACAUACACCGGAAACGUCCGGAG